rnacentral:rRNA from 1 species
GAUGAACGCUGGCGGCGUGCCUAAUACAUGCAAGUCGAGCGAACAGACGAGGAGCUUGCUCCUCUGACGUUAGCGGCGGACGGGUGAGUAAUACGUGGAUAACCUACCUAUAAGACUGGGAUAACUUCGGGAAACCGGAGCUAAUACCGGAUAAUAUAUUGAACCGCAUGGUUCAAUAGUGAAAGACGGUUUUGCUUUCACUUAUAGAUGGAUCCGCGCCGCGUUAGCUAGUUGGUAAGGUAACGGCUUACCAAGGCAACGAUGCGUAGCCGACCUGAGAGGGUGAUCGGCCACACUGGAACUGAGACACGGUCCAGACUCCUACGGGAGGCAGCAGUAGGGAAUCUUCCGCAAUGGGCGAAAGCUUGACGGAGCAACGCCGCGUGAGUGAUGAAGGUCUUCGGAUCGUAAAACUCUGUUAUUAGGGAAGAACAAAUGUGUAAGUAACUAUGCACGUCUUGACGGUACCUAAUCAGAAAGCCACGGCUAACUACGUG